rnacentral:rRNA from 1 species
AUGCACGCUGGCGGCGUGCCUCAUCCCUGCCAGUCGAGCGCACAGACGAGGAGCUUGCUCCUCUGACGUUAGCGGCGGACGGGUGAGUAACACGUGGAUAACCUACCUAUAAGACUGGGAUAACUUCGGGAAACCGGAGCUAAUACCGGAUAAUAUAUUGAACCGCAUGGUUCAAUAGUGAAAGACGGUUUUGCUGUCACUUAUAGAUGGAUCCGCGCCGCAUUAGCUAGUUGGUAAGGUAACGGCUUACCAAGGCGACGAUGCGUAGCCGACCUGAGAGGGUGAUCGGCCACACUGGAACUGAGACACGGUCCAGACUCCUACGGGAGGCAGCAGUAGGGAAUCUUCCGCAAUGGGCGAAAGCCUGACGGAGCAACGCCGCGUGAGUGAUGAAGGUCUUCGGAUCGUAAAACUCUGUUAUUAGGGAAGAACAAAUGUGUAAGUAACUAUGCACGUCUUGACGGUACCUAAUCAGAAAGCCACGGCUAACUACGUG